rnacentral:rRNA from 1 species
AGAGUUUGAUCCUGGCUCAGAUUGAACGCUGGCGGCAGGCCUAACACAUGCAAGUCGAACGGUAGCAGGAUGUGCUUGCACAUCGCUGACGAGUGGCGGACGGGUGAGUAAUGCUUCGGGAUCUGCCUCUGUGUGGGGGAUAACUAUUGGAAACGAUAGCUAAUACCGCAUAAUGUUUACGGACCAAAGGGGGCUUUUAGCUCCCGCGCAGAGAGGAACCUAAGUGAGAUUAGCUAGUUGGUGGGGUAAAGGCUCACCAAGGCGACGAUCUCUAGCUGUUCUGAGAGGAAGAUCAGCCACACUGGGACUGAGACACGGCCCAGACUCCUACGGGAGGCAGCAGUGGGGAAUAUUGCACAAUGGGGGAAACCCUGAUGCAGCCAUGCCGCGUGUGUGAAGAAGGCCUUCGGGUUGUAAAGCACUUUCAGUUGUGAGGAAAGGUUGAUGGUUAAUACCCAUCAGCUGUGACGUUAACAACAGAAGAAGCACCGGCUAACUCCGUGCCAGCAGCCGCGGUAAU